rnacentral:rRNA from 1 species
CAGCAGCCGCGGUAAUACGAAGGGGGCUAGCGUUACUCGGAAUUACUGGGCGUAAAGGGCGCGUAGGCGGCGCUCCAAGUUAGGCGUGAAAGUCCUGGGCUCAACCUGGGAACUGCGCUUAAGACUGGAGUGCUUGAGGAUGGAAGAGGGUUGUGGAAUUCCCAGUGUAGAGGUGAAAUUCGUAGAUAUUGGGAAGAACACCGGUGGCGAAGGCGGCAACCUGGUCCAUUACUGACGCUGAGGCGCGACAGCGUGGGGAGCAAACAGGAUUAGAUACCCCGGUAGUCCCUGUCUCUUAUAC